AAGAAUCCAGAGUCUUGGUACCAGCAGAGGCACUUUGGGUCAUUCCACCUCCUUGGGGAGUCCAGACGAAUUUGGGUUUAAUAGAAGUCAAAUAAGACCUUUAUCGGCUGCAAAUUUUUCGAUAAGGAAAAUCACUUGAUAUGAUGAAACUUUAAAGGUUUGAUGGAGCAAGUAGCUGAUGCAUCUUGGAAAGAAGUGUUUGAGGACAGAAGGUGAGAAUCACCUCAAUUUCAAAAUAUGAUGAGCAGCUGGGGAGAGGACAACGCAAGACAUGGAUACUGAAACCCCCACCUGAUGGAAGAAGUUAAAUACAUCAUGACCAGACUGUAACCAUGACAUAAGCUACCACAAUUCUGAGAACUGGCCUCAAAGAAAUGGGAAUGAACCGACCCUGGAACAUUACUUAAAGCAAUAGAGAUUGGAGUUGCCACUGUGGUGCAGUGGGUUAAGAAUUCAGCUGCACCAGCUUGGGUUGUGGCAGAGGCACAGUUUGAUCCCUGGCCUGGGAUCAAAGAUCCAGCAUUGCUGCAGCUGCUAUGUAGUUCACAGCUUUAGCUCAGCUUCAGUCCCUGGCCUGGGGAACUGCCUUAUAUUGUGGGUGUGACCAUAAAACAAGCAAGCAAACAGUUACCCUGAAGUUUUGAUGUAGGAGUCUCUAUAUAUACACAAGAUUGUUUAAAGUUAUUGGUCUCUUAAUUGCAAGUGCAUCUCCAGUGUCCUGCAUUUGUACCCUCCUCUUCUCACGAUUUCUGGUUUUGGUGGCAUAUUUGUGCCCGGAUGAUUUCCUACCUUUAUUGUAUGUAUGCCUUUACUGGUGAACCUGGUCAUUUGUAAUAUUUUUGUUUCUAGUUGUGGCCUUUUCUUUUCCACCUAGAAAAGUUCCUUUAGUAUUUGUUCUAAAGCUGGUUUAGUGGUGCUGAAUUCUCUUAGCUUUUGCUUGUCUCUAAAGCUUCUGAUUUCUUCUUCAAAUGUGAAUGAGAGCCUUGCUGGGUAGAAUAAUCUUGGAUGGAGGUUUUUUUCCUGUCAUCAGUUUAAGUAUAUUGUGGCACUCCCUUCUGGCCGGCAGAGUUUCUGCUGAAAAAUCUGCUGAUAACCUUAUUGGGGUUCCCUUGUAUAUUAUUUCUUUCUUUUCCCUAGCUACUUUCAGUAUUUUCUCUUUGUCUUUAAUUUUGGUCAGUUUGAUUUAUAUGUGUCUUCCUUGGGUUUAUCUUAUAUGGUACUCAUUGUGCUUCCUGGAUUUGAGUGAGUGAUUCCUUUCCCAUGUUAGGGAAGUUUUUGGCUAUUAUCUCUUCAAAUAUUUUUUCUGGACUUUUUCUCUCUCUUCUCCUCUGGCACCCCUAUAAAACGGAUGUUGUCCCAGAAUUCUCUUAGACUGUCUCCAUUUCUUUUCAAUCUUUUUUCUCUUUUCUGUUCCAUAUCAGUGAUGUGCACUAGUCUGUCCUCCACCUCACUUAUUCUUUCUUCUGCCUCCUGUACUCUGCUGUUGGUUACUUGUAAUGAAUUUUUUAUUUCAGUUAUUGUAUUUUGCAUCUCUGCUUGCUUAAUACUUAAAUCCUGUAUUUCUUCGCUCAGUGUUGCUUGUAAUUUAUCAAUCUUUGCCUUCAGUUUAUUUCCAGUGUCUUGAAUCAUCUUCACUAUAAUCAGUCUAAAGUCUUUUUCAUGGAGAUUGAUAAUCUCCAGAUCACUUAACUGUUUUUCUGGGUUUUUUUCUUGCUCCCUUAUCUGAGUCAUAAUUCUCUGCCUUUUCAUUUUGUACAGAUUUUUGGUAUGGUCUCCUUUUUGCAGACAAUAGAGUUGUAGCCUUUCCUGCUUCUGAUGUCCACCCCCUUGUGGCUGAAGUCGGUUCAAGGGCUUACUGUAGGCUUCCUGAUGGGAGGAACUUGUGCCUGCCCACUUGUAGGUGGAGCUGAUUCUUAUCCCUCUGGUGGGUGGAGCUUUGUCUCUGGAUAAUAUUAGAGGCACUAUGUGCCUGGAGAAGUCUUUAGGCAGCCUGUUUACUGAUGGGUGAGGCCAGAUUUUUCCAAAAUGGCCACCUCUAGAGGAACACACGCUGAUGAUUAUUCCAGAGACCUUUGCCUCCAAUGUCCUUCCCCCAUAACCUGCCACAGUCACCUCCUGUUUUCCCAGAAGAUCCUUUAAGAACUGCAGUUAGGUCUAACCCAGAUUCCUGCGGAGUCUCUGCUUUGCCCUGGGACCCUGUGCACGUGAAAUCCUGUGCACGCCUUUCAAGAAUGGGGUCUCCAUUUCCCCCAUCCUGUGGAACUCCUGCACACAAGCCCCACUGGCAUUCAAUGCCAAAUGCUCUGAGGGCUCCUUCUCCCACAGCCAGAUCCCAGGCAUGAGGGCCUGACAUGGGGCUCAGAACUCUCACUCUUAUAGGUGAGUCUCUGUGAUGCAGGUACUUUCCAGUCUGUGGGCUGCCCACCUGGUGGGUAUGGGGUUGCUUAUAUUGCAUAAUCACCCCUCCUACCAUCUUGAUGUGGCCUCCUCUUUGUCUUCUGGAGUGGGAUAUCUUUUUUUGAUAGUUUGCAGUCUGUUUGGUUGAAGGUUGUUGAGCAGUUAGUUGUAAUUUUGUUGCUUUUAUGAGAGAAGGUGAGCUCCAGUCCUUCUACUCUGCCAUCUUCCAAACAAGUUAACAAAUAAAA
rnacentral:lncRNA from 1 species